rnacentral:lncRNA from 1 species
UGCCUCUUUAUUUUAAUUAGAAUAUUAUUGUAAAUGUAUUGAAUGUAUAAUUUCUAUGGUUAAAUCGAAUACUACUUUAGUAUGGAAUGCAUAUUUAAUUGCCUUACUUUGAAUAUUUUGUAUUGUGCAAGGUAACCUAUUUUCUAGGAAUAUGAUAAACUUGAGUAAUUGAAUUUGAUAGGAAAGAGGUAAAUAUCUACAUUUAAGGAUAAUAUCCUAUAUAAUUGUGACAGUUAGGAUAAAGAAGAGUCAUGUGGAGUAAUUAUUUAAGUAUUUUAAACUUUAGGAUAUAUAGUGUAAAGAGGCCAUGUAUAUGGCGUAACUUACCUUUUUAUUUAAUUACAAUGAUUGAAUAAUUUUUGUCUUAAACCUAUUUAGUUCUUACCAUAGAAAUUCAAAACAAAGAGAGAAAAUAGAAUGCUAAUAACAAUUUAAUACCAUAAAUAUAGAAACUUGUGCAGUUUUAGGGCAAAAAGAAGCAGAAAAAUAAAAACCUUAGAGCAUAUGAAAAAUAGUCCGAUCUAAAAAAUGGGAGACAAAAAAUCAAUAAUUUGAUUGGAAUAAAAAUAUUUAAGCAAGUCUUUUUUAUAACUUAAAUUUUACACCCACAUAAAUUAUAUUUAGUAAUAAAAAUUUAUCGUGGUUUAAAAUAAAGACAAAUCUCAAUUAAAAGUUAUCAAUAGCUAAUCUUUAAAUCCUUAAAUUAUUGUUUACCAUGAAGUCUUGGAAAUUAACUGGGGUUGAAUGCAGUCAAGGAGAAGAAAAAAAAAGAUUAAUAAAGGACAAAAGAAAAAAUGUUAUAAAUAGAACUCUAAUUAGAGUGAAUGUCUAUCUUAUAGAAGAGUUUUACUU